AAGGCACGUCAGUCACAUAAACAUGUGGUAAAUGAUGGAAAAACAGGACCUUGAUUAGCAAUAUCAUACUGUGACAGCUAUUGUUCAUAAUAUGAGCUGAUAUUGAGGUGUGGUGACAUAGCCGUUGCUUGGUGAAGGCUGAAAUGGACUUCUAUACUUGUCACCAAUAACUAACUAGGAGAGUGAUGGGGUGCUGCAGAUGACCUGGCCUCCACAGUCACCGGACCUGAACCCAAUCCAGAUGGUUUAGAGGUGAGCUGGACCGCAGACAGAAGGCAAAAGGGCCAACAAGUGCUAAGCAUCUCUCGGGGAACUCCUUCAAGACUGUUGGAAGACCAUUUCAGGUGACUACCUCUUGAAGCUCAUCAAGAGAAUGCCAAGAGUGUGCAAAGUAGUAAUCAAAGCAAAAGGUGGCUAAUUUGAAGAACCUACAAUAUGACAUAUUUUCAGUUGUUUCACACUUUUUUGUUAUGUAUAUCAUUCCAUAUAUAAUUCCACAUGUGUUAAUUCAUAGUUUUGAUGCCUUCAGUGUGAAUCUACAAUUUUCAUAGUCAUGGAAAUAAAGAAAACUCUUUGAAUGAGAA